rnacentral:lncRNA from 1 species
CGGGAUUGGGUAGAUUUGCAAUUGGGACGCGGGCUCAUUUUUGAAAACCCAGUAUUAUUCGUUGAAUUAAAUGGGGGUGAUGAAUAUUGUUAGGGGCAUCAAUUUGUAUCCCUAAUUUGCAAUGGCAUAGGAGUAAUUCUCUUCACAAGACAGUAAUCCAUGUCUCUUCUGGCUAAUUACAUAUUCUUCAGUCAAGCUCCAGAAUUAAUGUUGGGAGACAGCAAAUUUACUUAAGAUCAAAUCUUGAAGAAAAAAUUACUUAAGACCAGGCCAAGUAUAAUUAAUUUCUUAUGCCUCUGUGGCUCUGUGUGUCCAAUUUUAUACUGAUUAUAUUGACCAAUAAGCUUAAGACACGGACAAGCUGCCAUGCCCAAUUCUUUUAUGUGCAAGCCUAUUACCAGCCAUACAGUACUGAUGUUGCAAAU